rnacentral:rRNA from 1 species
UGAUUUCCCUAGUAACGGCGAGUGAAGAGGAAAGAGCUCAAAGUUGGAACCUGUUUGGCUUAGCUAAACCGGAUUGUAAACUGUAGAAGUGUUUUCCUGACACGCCUGGUAAAAAAGUCCUUUGGAACAGGGCAUCAUAGAGGGUGAGAAUCCCGUGUUUGGCCAGAGCUGUUGUCUUUUGUGAUACAUUUUCAAAGAGUCAGGUUGUUUGGGAAUGCAGCCUAAAUUGGGUGGUAAAUCUCACCUAAAGCUAAAUAUUUGCGAGAGACCGAUAGCGAACAAGUACCGUGAGGGAAAGAUGAAAAGAACUUUGAAAAGAGAGUUAAACAGUAUGUGAAAUUGUUAAAAGGGAACCGUUUGGAGCCAGACUGGCUUGACUGUAAUCAAUCUAGGCUUCGGCCUGGAUGCACUUGCGGUUUAUGCCUGCCAACGACAAUUUUUUUUGAGGGAAAAAACUAUUAGGAAUGUGGCCCCCUUCGGGGGGUGUUAUAGCCUUUUAGAAAAUACCUUGAAUUGGAUUGAGGAACGCAGUGAAUGCCUUUAGGCAAGAUUGCUGGGUGCUUUCGUUAAUAAAUGCUAGAAUUUCUGCCUUGGGUGGUGCUAGUGUUUAAAGAUGGAACUCGCCUGGUAUAUUUUUUAUUCGCUUAGGUUGUUGGCUUAAUGACUCUAAAUGACCCGUCUUGAAACACGGACCAAGGAGUCCACCAUUAGUGCGAGUAUUUGGGUGACAAACCCAUAUGCGUAAGGAAACUGAUUGAUACGAAAUCUUUAAGAUGGCAGUAUCACCCGGCGAUGACGUUUUAUACUGAACCGACCGAGGUAAAGCACUAAUGAUGGGACCCGAAAGAUGGUGAACUAUGCCUGAAUAGGGUGAAGCC